rnacentral:rRNA from 1 species
UACGUAGGGUGCAAGCGUUAAUCGGAAUUACUGGGCGUAAAGGGUGCGCAGGCGGUUAUAUAAGACAGAUGUGAAAUCCCCGGGCUCAACCUGGGAACUGCGUUUGUGACUGUAUGACUAGAGUACGGUAGAGAGGGGUGGAAUCCCUGGUGUAGCAGUGAAAUGCGUAGAUAUCAGGAGGAACAUCGAUGGCGAAGGCAGCCCCUUGGACCGUGUACUGACGCUCAUGCACGAAAGCGUGGGGAGCAAACAGG